AGAGUUUGAUCCUGGCUCAGGAUGAACGCUGGCGGCAUGCCUAAGACAUGCAAGUCGAACGAAGUAGUCCACUGAAGGAAGAGUACUUGUACGAAUUUGGAAGUGGGUAGCUACUUAGUGGCGCAAGGGUGAGUAACACGUGGGUGAUCUACCUUAGGGACUGGGAUAACAGUUGGAAACGAUUGCUAAUACCGGAUGAGAUAUAUACUGAUACGUUAGUAUAUAGUAAAAGUAGCUUUCGGGCUACACCUUAAGAUGAGCUUGCGGCGUAUUAGCUAGUUGGUGGGGUAAAGGCCUACCAAGGCAACGAUGCGUAGCCGACCUGAGAGGGUGAACGGCCACAUUGGGACUGAGACACGGCCCAAACUCCUACGGGAGACAGCAGUUAGGAAUAUUCGUCAAUGGGGGAAACCCUGAACGAGCAAUGCCGCGUGAAGGAAGACGGUCCUCUGGAUUGUAAACUUCUGUUGUAAGGGAAGAACGACCAUUAUAGGAAAUGAUAAUGGAGUGACGGUACCUUUCAAGAAAGCUCCGGCUAACUACGUGCCAGCAGCCGCGGUAAUACGUAGGGAGCGAGCGUUAUCCGGAAUUAUUGGGUGUAAAGCGUGUGUAGGCGGUGAUAUAAGUCUAAGGUUUAAGCCCGGAGCUCAACUCCGGAUCGCCUUAGAAACUGUAACACUUGAGUAUGGUAGAGGUAAACGGAAUUUCUAGUGUAGCGGUAAAAUGCGUAGAUAUUAGAAGGAACACCAGUGGCGAAGGCGGUUUACUGGGCCACCACUGACGCUGAGACACGAAAGCGUGGGGAGCAAAUAGGAUUAGAUACCCUAGUAGUCCACGCCGUAAACGAUGAGUACUAAGUGUCGGGCAACCGGUGCUGAAGUUAACACAUUAAGUACUCCACCUGAGUAGUACGGUCGCAAGGCUGAAACUCAAAGGAAUUGACGGGCACCCGCACAAGCGGUGGAGCAUGCUGUUUAAUUCGAAGAUACGCGAAGAACCUUACCUGGGCUUGACAUCGAUCUGAAAGCUAGUGGAAACACUAGCCCUUCCCUUCGGGGAACAGAGAAGACAGGUGGUGCAUGGUUGUCGUCAGCUCGUGUCGUGAGAUGUUGGGUUAAGUCCCGCAACGAGCGCAACCCUUAUCCUUAAUUGCUAACAUUAGGUUGAGAACCUUAAGGAGACUGCCGGUGACAAACCGGAGGAAGGUGGGGAUGACGUCAAAUCAUCAUGCCCCUUACGUCCAGGGCUACAGGCGUGCUAUAAUGGCUGGUAUAAAAAGAAGCGAACUCGUGAGGGGGAGCAAAACUCGAAAGCCAGUCUCAGUCCGGAUUGAAGUCUGCAACUCGACUUCAUGAAGCUAGAAUCGCUAGUAAUCCCAAAUCAGAAUGUUGGGGUGAAUACGUUCCCGGGUGUUGUACACACCGCCCGUCACGCCAUGGGAGUUGGUAAUACCCGAAGCUGGUAGCCUAACCGAUUUAUCGGAGGGGGCCAUCGAAGGUAGGAUCAGCGACUGGGGUGAAGUCGUAACAAGGUAACC
rnacentral:rRNA from 1 species